GGGGAGCCGGGGAGGGUUUCAGGCAGGACUGGGGGACCCAUGAGGGUGUCAGGAAGAGCUGGGUGUCCCCAGGCAGGACUGGGGGACCCGUGGCGGCUGUCGGGGCUCCC